rnacentral:rRNA from 1 species
CCACGCCGUAAACGAUGAUUACUAGGUGUAGGAGGUAUCGACUCCUUCUGUGCCGCAGCAAACGCAAUAAGUAAUCCACCUGGGGAGUACGGCCGCAAGGUUAAAACUCAAAGGAAUUGACGGGGGCCCGCACAAGCAGUGGAGUAUGUGGAUUAAUUCGAGGCAACGCGAAGAACCUUACCAGGGCUUGACAUCUCCUGACAGCUGUAGAGAUACAGUGUCCCUUCGGGGCAGGAAGACAGGUGGUGCAUGGUUGU